rnacentral:rRNA from 1 species
ACUCCUACGGGAGGCAGCAGUCGAGAAUCUUCCGCAAUGGCCGCAAGGCUGACGGAGCGACACCGCGUGCAGGAUGACACCCUUCGGGGCGUAAACUGCUUUUAUGUCUGAAGAAGUACGCUGACAUUAAGACAUGAAUAAGGGUCCGCCAAACUCGUGCCAGCAGCGGCGGUAAUACGAGUGACCCGAGCGUUAUCCGGAAUCAUUGGGCGUAAAGGGUCCGCAGGCGGUUCUGCGCGUCCCUUCGUUAAAUCUCACGGCUCAACCGUGAAACCGCGAAGGAUACGGCAGAACUAGAGGCUGGGAGAGGCUGACGGAAUGGUAGGUGUAGGGGUAAAAUCCGUUAAUAUCUACUAGAACACCAAAGGCGAAGGCAGUCAGCUGGAACAGUCCUGACGCUCAGGGACGAAAGCGUGGGGAGCGAAGGGGAUUAGAUACCCUGGUAGCGAGUAG